rnacentral:lncRNA from 1 species
GAGGAAAUGGAAACUGAAGCAUGUUGUACAUACAUUUUGUGUGAGAAGAACCUGCAAGGUCAAAGUACAUGUCAGAAAGCAGCAAAGUCAUUCAUUUAACAUCUUUUACUGACAUUUCUGAAUGUCUCAAGCCCCAGCUGGAUAGAAGAUACGCUUAUACAGAAGAACCUAGGGUUAAAACCGUGUCAGAUGUUGGUGCCUUGGGAGGAUCUGACAUGGAAAAUUUGUUGCAAUCUUUGUAUGUAGAAAAUAGAGCUGGAUUCUUCUUUACUAAAUUCUGCGAGCAUUCAGGGAACAAGUUGUGGAAGAACAGUGUGUACUUUUGGUUUGACCUGCAGGCUUAUCAUCAGCUUUUCUACCAAGAAACACUUCAGCCUUUUAAAGUAUGCAAGCAAGCGCAAGUACGUAGUAAAUAAUAUUGGUUCAAUGUGAAGCACUAAGUACACAGAGAAAUGAAAAUUGUGUCCAGUCCCAAACGAGAAAUCUGGGAUCGCAGGCAAAAAGGCAGCAAUUAAAUUGUUGCCAUGGGAUUACUGUAUUUGAAAUCAGCAAAAUAUUGUUUUAUAAUAUGAUUUGUGAGUUUUCAGUUUUAUGUCUUUUAUUUGGUUUGCUUUAUUUUCUCUUGCCAACUACUUGUUCUUCUGAUAAAGAACAUCUCUCUCUCUUUUUUUUCUAAUGUAUACCUUUUUGGUUUGGUUUUGAGUGAUUUAAAAGAAGACCCCGAGAAUGGACAUGUAAUGAAUCAUUGAAGUGAUGGGGAACAGAGACAUUGACCAAUGUUGCUCUCUGAGCUUCCUGCAGAUAUCAGC